rnacentral:rRNA from 1 species
UACGUAGGGGCAAGCGUUGUCCGGAUUUAUUGGGCGUAAAGAGCGUGUAGGCGGUCAGGUAGGUCCGUUGUGAAAACUCGAGGCUCGACCUCGAGACGCCGAUGGAAACCAUCUGACUAGAGUCCGGAAGAGGAGAGUGGAAUUCCUGGUGUAGCGGUGAAAUGCGCAGAUAUCAGGAAGAACACCCGUGGCUAAGGCGGCUCUCUAGUACGGUACUGACGCUGAGACGCGAAAGCGUGGGGAGCGAACAGG